UGAGGCUGGAGGGCGGGGAGGCCUAGCUCUGGGACUCGGGGACCCAUACGCGAAUGUCGAGAGGACUGAGGGCGGAGGACUGCAGCGGGAUCGAGAGAAGCCCGGAGCCAGCGGACGCAAAACGAAGGCCGCCCUCUGCCGUGCGGUCACUUCCGGCCUCCGGGGACGCUUAAAGGGGUAGCGGGUAUCUCUGAAGCCCCGGGGCACCCCCAGGCCGCGGUUUCGCCGCUGGUGCCCAGGCUUCUGUGAGUUUUAAUAUUUCGGGAGCACGUGCUUUAGCCUUGACUUUCCAUCUGUUCGGUCCGAGUGCGCAUAGCUAUAAGGGAGACGCUCCGCUGAAGCCCUCUCUGACCGAAAGCUCCCUGGAUCCCACAGCAGCACCGGAAUACCGGCCGUUCACAGAGUUACCCCGCUGAUCGCUAGGCACUUUGCAUUAUCUCCCUCAGUCGUCUCUGGUUUUCCGUAUUGAUCCGACUCCAAAGACUAUACAAAUGCAUUGAGGCUGCAAAGUCGGUGGAACAAGGGCAGAAUGCUUCUGCCUGCCGGGUCAUUCGGGAUGAAUUUACACUUGGUUGAGUCCCGCUCACAGCCGCCAGUGGCAGUUGCAUUCGACCUAAAGACACGUGUUCCUUUCACCAAUAUAAGCGUGGGCAGCGUUCACCUGGAGGGGCUCUUAUCUACUGACCCUACUAUUCGAAGUGUAAAUUCAUUUCAGGUGUUGGAGUUUUCAGGAAUUUGAUUGCAUAGAAAUGGAAGCAUGAUACUGUCUAGGAAUAGCUUUACUUAAAAAAAAAAAAAAAAAAAAAGCUGAUCCUGUGGACUAUCACAUGACUUGACUAUCCAAGGAUGCUUUUCUCUGCUGAUGAUCCUGACACACUUGUCAAAAUCAGCUGGCCACAGAUGAAGGGAUUUGCUUCUGGACCCUUAAUCCUGCUCAGUUGAUCUGUGUAUCAGCAUGUCAGAAAUGACCUGUUCUUAUUACUGUAACUUUGUAAGUUAGGAAGUGUUAUUUUACUCUUUAAAAAAUACUGUUUUGGCUCAUUGGGGCACUUAAAUUUCCACAUCCCAUUGAGGAUGGACUUGGAAUUGUUCAUAGAAGGCUGUUGGAUCUUUGGUUACUGCAUUAAUCUGUAGGUAAUCCUGAAAAGCCCCCUGACAUUGUUAAGACUCCUCAUCCACAGCAAUCUACUAAGACCUUUGUGUUCUUUCCGUGCUGUUUGAUAGCUUAUGGUGUCCUUGGUUAAAGUUUAUUUUUAAAAACUUUGUUGUUAUCAAAAAUUUUGUUUUUUUGGAUCUUAUUGCAAAUGAAUUUUCCACUUAAUUUCUUUUUCAGAUUGUUCAUUGCUGGUAUAUAAAAAUACAAUUGACUUUUUCCUGUUGACCUAAUAGCCUACAACUUAGCCAAUUAACAUAGUAGGUAGAGGUGUGUGUGUGUGUGUGUGUGAUAUUACUUAUGAAUUUUCAAUAAACCAUCUGUAAAUACAGAUGCUUUACUCUUA